rnacentral:rRNA from 1 species
UGGGGAAUAUUGCACAAUGGGCGCAAGCCUGAUGCAGCCAUGCCGCGUGUGUGAAGAAGGCCUUCGGGUUGUAAAGCACUUUCAGCGAGGAGGAAGGUGGUGAGCUUAAUACGCUCAUCAAUUGACGUUACUCGCAGAAGAAGCACCGGCUAACUCCGUGCCAGCAGCCGCGGUAAUACGGAGGGUGCAAGCGUUAAUCGGAAUUACUGGGCGUAAAGCGCACGCAGGCGGUUUGUUAAGUCAGAUGUGAAAUCCCCGGGCUCAACCUGGGAACUGCAUUUGAAACUGGCAAGCUAGAGUCUCGUAGAGGGGGGUAGAAUUCCAGGUGUAGCGGUGAAAUGCGUAGAGAUCUGGAGGAAUACCGGUGGCGAAGGCGGCCCCCCUGGACGAAGACUGACGCUCAGGUGCGAAAAGCGUGGGGCAGCAAACAGGAUUAGAUACCCUGGUAGUCCAGCGCUGUAAAACGAUGUCGAUUUGGAGGUUGUGCCCUUGAGGCGUGGCUUCCGGAGCUAACGCGUUAAAUCGACCGCCUGGGGGAGUACGGCCGCAAGGUU